rnacentral:rRNA from 1 species
GACGAACGCUGGCGGCGUGCUUAACACAUGCAAGUCGAACGGAAAGGCCCUGCUUUUGUGGGGUGCUCGAGUGGCGAACGGGUGAGUAACACGUGAGUAACCUGCCCUUGACUUUGGGAUAACUUCAGGAAACUGGGGCUAAUACCGGAUAGGAGCUCCUGCUGCAUGGUGGGGGUUGGAAAGUUUCGGCGGUUGGGGAUGUACUCGCGGCUUAUCAGCUUGUUGGUGGGGUAGUGGCUUACCAAGGCUUUGACGGGUAGCCGGCAUGAGAGGGUGACCGGCCACAUUGGGACUGAGAUACGGCCCAGACUCCUACGGGAGGCAGCAGUGGGGAAUAUUGCACAAUGGGCGGAAGCCUGAUGCAGCAACGCCGCGUGCGGGAUGACGGCCUUCGGGUUGUAAACCGCUUUCGCCUGUGACGAAGCGUGAGUGACGGUAAUGGGUAAAGAAGCACCGGCUAACUACGUG